GCGAUAUAUUGCCUUGUACCCGUUUCUAAUCCGGACAAGUUUCUCAUCGCAACAUUAUAAGGAUGCGAAGGAUAUUUUGGACAAAAAAUUUCUUUUGUUUCGACUUCACAAAGCGGAGAAAGUUGAUUCGCAAAUUCGAAGGAGUGAACUACUGGUGUAUAAACACGCUUGUUUGAAACAAUGACAUAGAUUGUACUGUCAAAAUCUCUUGAAAAUAUUGAAAAAACGAUCCUUGACAAAUGUUGUGUAAAAACUAGCUGCAGUCAACCAUCGACAUUCCUACCAGAUGCGAAAAUGACGACUUUAAUUUGACUCCUAACAUAGAAAAAGUUCUGGCUAAACCAUCAAAUGUUGACAGUCUUUUCUGCUGAUUUCUUAGUUCCUUCACAAAAGUUAUUUAUAACUUUAAGAAUGGCUAAAGCUAGAGGAACUGAAUGCUGUAUUUUUGGUUGUGCUAAACGAAAAAAAAUUAGAGAAAAAAAGGGGAAUGCGCGUAGUGAUAGUAAAGGAAGUGAUGACAGCCACUCGGUGCUUAAAAGAAAACAUCCUUGGUCAUUUCAUUGCUGAUGAAAAUAAAUACUCGUUGUAACUCUUGGUUGAGGAAAUUCGUCGUAAGGAUUGGUAUCCGAACAAGUAUUCACGUGUUUCCUCAGACAACUCAUUGAUAGAAGCAAAGCAAAUACUAGAUUAAAGAAAGAUGCAAUACCUAGAAGAUUUAAGAAAUUUACGUUGUAUCUUAUUAAGGUCUCAGCUCAACACAACCCAUGUUUGUAG